rnacentral:lncRNA from 1 species
AUGUUGACUCAGCUGUGGCACACCAUUCACCUGAGCUCAGGCACCGUGACAGCUUCCUCCUCAGCUCACGUCUUUCCUUUUCGCUUCAGCAUCUUCUCCAGCUCGGAGGAGCUGGUUGGUCUCGCACUAGAGCAGACUGGAAGCCAGAGGGAUUCGCUUCCUAGGACAGCCUCCACCAGCACUGUCACCUGGCUUUAUGGUCCCACAAAUCUUGCUGCAGUAGCAGCAGAUUCAGAUGACAUGGGCUCUGAUGGUUUUGUACCAGGAAAAUCUGAUAGACAUCGUCCUCGCUUCUUCAACGUUGGCACCACCCUGCCUGCCAGCGUAUCUGCCUCACUCUGGGAGUCCAUCCACGGAGAGACCCAUGGCCCAGCGGGCACCUGCGUGUCCUGGGGUGGCUGCGUCUCUCCAGCCAUCAGGAGACCCAGGAUGCCCGAGAGUCCCUGACAAAGAGGGAGGAGCCUCUUUCCUGUUGCUGUAA